rnacentral:lncRNA from 1 species
CUCCUCCUCAUCCUCAUCCUCCUUGGCCUCCCCUUCAGCCUCCUCCUCCUCCUCUUCCUCCUCUUCCCCCCCUCCUCCUCAUCCUCCUCUUCAUCAUCCUCCUCCUCAGCCUCCCCUUCGGCCUCAGCCUCUUCCUCCUCAUCCCCACCUUCAUCAUCUUCCUCCUCAUCAUCAUCCUCAGCAGCAGCCUCCCCUUCGGCCUCAGCCUCCUCCUCCUCUUCCUCCUCCUCAUCAGCCUCAGCCUCUUCAUCCCCACCUUCAUCUUCCUCCUCCUCCUCCUCCUCAUCAGCCUUCAGCCUCCUUCUCCUCAUCCCCACCUUCAUCAGCCUCCUCUUCCUCCUCUUCCCCUCUUCAUCAUCAUCUUCCUCUUCAUCCUCCUCAUCAGCCUUCAGCCUCCUCUUCAUCCCCACCUUCAUCUUCCUCCUCCUCCUCGGCCUCCCCUUCAGCCUCUUCCUCCUCUUCCUCAUCCUCAGCAGCAGCCUCCCCUUCAGCCUUCAGCCUCCUUCUCUUUAUCCCCACCUUCAUCAUCUUCCUCCUCGGCCUCACCUUCAGCCUCCUCCUCCUCAUCAUCAGCCUUUGGCCUCCUCCUUGGCCUCCUCCUCAUCAGCCUUCAGCCUCCUUCUCUUCAUCCCCACCUUCAUCAGCCUCCUCCUCCUCCUCUUCCCCUCCUCAUCAUCAUCUUCCUCUUCAUCCUCCUCCUCCCCUUCGGCCUCAGCCUCCUUCUCCUCAUCUCCACCUUCAUCUUCCUCCUCAGCAUCAUCCUCCUCCUCAUCAUCCUCAGCCUCAGCAGCAGCCUCCCCUUCGGCCUCAGCCUCCUUCUCCUCAUCUCCACCUUCAUCUUCCUCCUCAGCAUCAUCCUCCUCCUCAUCAUCCUCAGCCUCAGCAGCAGCCUCCCCUUCGGCCUCAGCCUCCUUCUCCUCAUCUCCACCUUCAUCAUCCUCCUCCUCUUCCUCCUUCUCCUCCUCCUCACCUUCAUCCUCUUCCUCCUCCUCAGCCUCCCCUUCAGCCUCCUCCUCCUCCUCCUCAUCAUCAUCAGCCUCAGCCUCCUCCUCUUCCUCCUCCUUGGCCUCCCCUUUGGCCUUGGCCUCCUCCUCCCCAUCUUCAUCAUCGUCCUCCUCCUCUUCCUCCUUCUCCUCCUCCUCCCCACCUUCAUCGUCAUCCUCCUCCUCCUCCUCUGUCUCCCCUUCAGCCUCCUCAGCCUCCUCCUCCUCCUCCUCACCUUCAUCUUCCUCCUCAGCCUCCUCCUCCUCCCCUUCAGCCUCCUCUUCCAUCAGCUUCAGCCUCCUCCUCCUCCUCACCUUCAUCAGCCUCCUCCUCUUCCUCCUCCUCAUCUCCACCUUCCUCCUCCUCCCCCUCCCCCCCUGAGCCUUCGGCCUCGCUCUGUUCCAGGGUCUCUCUUGACCCGUCCAAGCGGCCGAGCUCCAACCGCUGCGUCUCGGGCCCCCCCGCCCCCGCCGCCCC